AACCUUAUGGACCUGCGGGCGUAUACCUGCGGAGGGAUCAUUAAAAAGAGUGUGUACCCCCCUGUAAAAUGGGUGGGUUACCUCCCGUCCUUUGUUGACCUCUUAGGAGGUUAUUUUGAACUUUUCUGCUUCGGUGGGGUUAAACCUACCGGAACACCCUCAAAUUCUGAUCAUUUAAAAAUUGUUCAGUCCGAUUUUUGUUAAUAAAAACAAAAAACUUUCAACAACGGAUCUCAGAUC
rnacentral:misc_RNA from 1 species